ACCAAGGCGACGAUCGGUAGCUGGUCUGAGAGGAUGACCAGCCACACUGGAACUGAGACACGGUCCAGACUCCUACGGGAGGCAGCAGUGGGGAAUAUUGGACAAUGGGGGGAACCCUGAUCCAGCAAUGCCGCGUGUGUGAAGAAGGCCUGAGGGUUGUAAAGCACUUUCAGUGGGGAGGAGGGUUGACAGGUUAAGAGCUGGUUGACUGGACGUUACCCACAGAAGAAGCACCGGCUAACUCCGUGCCAGCAGCCGCGGUAAUACGGAGGGUGCGAGCGUUAAUCGGAAUUACUGGGCGUAAAGGGUGCGUAGGUGGUUUGAUAAGUUAUCUGUGAAAGCCCUGGGCUCAACCUGGGAACUGCAGAUAAGACUGUUGAACUCGAGUAUAGGAGAGGGUAGUGGAAUUUCCGGUGUAGCGGUGAAAUGCGUAGAGAUCGGAAGGAACACCAGUGGCGAAGGCGGCUACCUGGCCUAAUACUGACACUGAGGCACGAAAG
rnacentral:rRNA from 1 species